rnacentral:lncRNA from 1 species
GCAGACUUCACACGACUAGGGCACACGCCCAUGUUCAAGGCCGUGCCGUUCACAGGCUGAGACACACGCCAUGUAUCUACCUAUGUGCUUAAUACUAAGCAUUCUGUUUUGCAACAUUUAAGGUGCAUAGGACACAUGGCCGGAACACACGCCCAAGGGGCAAGCCGUGUGUCACGCACGCCCGUGUGUCUACCCGUGUGGACAAAAAUAAGGCUAUUUACCAAGCCUUUUUG